GGUUAAGCGACUAAGCGUACACGGUGGAUGCCCUGGCAGUCAGAGGCGAUGAAGGACGUGCUAAUCUGCGAAAAGCGUCGGUAAGGUGAUAUGAACCGUUAUAACCGGCGAUGUCCGAAUGGGGAAACCCAGUGCAAUUCGUUGCACUAUCGUUAACUGAAUACAUAGGUUAACGAGGCGAACCGGGGGAACUGAAACAUCUAAGUACCCCGAGGAAAAGAAAUCAACCGAGAUUCCCCCAGUAGCGGCGAGCGAACGGGGAGCAGCCCAGAGUCUGAAUCAGCUUGUGUGUUAGUGGAACGGUCUGGAAAGUCCGACGGUACAGGGUGAUAGUCCCGUACACCAAAAUGCACAGGUUGUGAACUCGAAGAGUAGGGCGGGACACGUGGUAUCCUGUCUGAAUAUGGGGGGACCAUCCUCCAAGGCUAAAUACUCCUGACUGACCGAUAGUGAACCAGUACCGUGAGGGAAAGGCGAAAAGAACCCCGGCGAGGGGAGUGAAAAAGAACCUGAAACCGUGUACGUACAAGCAGUGGGAGCACCUUCGGGUGUGACUGCGUACCUUUUGUAUAAUGGGUCAGCGACUUAUAUUCUGUAGCAAGGUUAACCGUAUAGGGGAGCCGCAGGGAAACCGAGUCUUAACUGGGCGUUAAGUUGCAGGGUAUAGACCCGAAACCCGGUGAUCUAGCCAUGGGCAGGUUGAAGGUUGGGUAACACUAACUGGAGGACCGAACCGACUAAUGUUGAAAAAUUAGCGGAUGACUUGUGGCUGGGGGUGAAAGGCCAAUCAAACCGGGAGAUAGCUGGUUCUCCCCGAAAGCUAUUUAGGUAGCGCCUCGUGAAUUCAUCUUCGGGGGUAGAGCACUGUUUCGGCUAGGGGGUCAUCCCGACUUACCAACCCGAUGCAAACUACGAAUACCGAAGAAUGUUAUCACGGGAGACACACGGCGGGUGCUAACGUCCGUCGUGAAGAGGGAAACAACCCAGACCGCCAGCUAAGGUCCCAAAGUCAUGGUUAAGUGGGAAACGAUGUGGGAAGGCACAGACAGCCAGGAUGUUGGCUUAGAAGCAGCCAUCAUUUAAAGAAAGCGUAAUAGCUCACUGGUCGAGUCGGCCUGCGCGGAAGAUGUAACGGGGCUAAACCAUGCACCGAAGCUGCGGCAGCGACACUAUGUGUUGUUGGGUAGGGGAGCGUUCUGUAAGCCUGCGAAGGUGUGCUGUGAGGCAUGCUGGAGGUAUCAGAAGUGCGAAUGCUGACAUAAGUAACGAUAAAGCGGGUGAAAAGCCCGCUCGCCGGAAGACCAAGGGUUCCUGUCCAACGUUAAUCGGGGCAGGGUGAGUCGACCCCUAAGGCGAGGCCGAAAGGCGUAGUCGAUGGGAAACAGGUUAAUAUUCCUGUACUUGGUGUUACUGCGAAGGGGGGACGGAGAAGGCUAUGUUAGCCGGGCGACGGUUGUCCCGGUUUAAGCAUGUAGGCUGAUUGUCCAGGCAAAUCCGGAUAAUCAAGGCUGAGGUGUGAUGACGAGGCACUACGGUGCUGAAGUAACAAAUGCCCUGCUUCCAGGAAAAGCCUCUAAGCAUCAGGUAACAUCAAAUCGUACCCCAAACCGACACAGGUGGUCAGGUAGAGAAUACCAAGGCGCUUGAGAGAACUCGGGUGAAGGAACUAGGCAAAAUGGUGCCGUAACUUCGGGAGAAGGCACGCUGGUGUGUAGGUGAAGUCCCUGCGGAUGGAGCUGAGACCAGUCGAAGAUACCAGCUGGCUGCAACUGUUUAUUAAAAACACAGCACUGUGCAAACACGAAAGUGGACGUAUACGGUGUGACGCCUGCCCGGUGCCGGAAGGUUAAUUGAUGGGGUUAUCCGUAAGGAGAAGCUCUUGAUCGAAGCCCCGGUAAACGGCGGCCGUAACUAUAACGGUCCUAAGGUAGCGAAAUUCCUUGUCGGGUAAGUUCCGACCUGCACGAAUGGCGUAAUGAUGGCCAGGCUGUCUCCACCCGAGACUCAGUGAAAUUGAACUCGCUGUGAAGAUGCAGUGUACCCGCGGCAAGACGGAAAGACCCCGUGAACCUUUACUAUAGCUUGACACUGAACAUUGAGCCUUGAUGUGUAGGAUAGGUGGGAGGCUUUGAAGCGUGGACGCCAGUCUGCGUGGAGCCAACCUUGAAAUACCACCCUUUAAUGUUUGAUGUUCUAACGUUGGCCCCUUACCGGGGUUGCGGACAGUGUCUGGUGGGUAGUUUGACUGGGGCGGUCUCCUCCCAAAGCGUAACGGAGGAGCACGAAGGUUAGCUAAUCCUGGUCGGACAUCAGGAGGUUAGUGCAAUGGCAUAAGCUAGCUUGACUGCGAGCGUGACGGCGCGAGCAGGUGCGAAAGCAGGUCAUAGUGAUCCGGUGGUUCUGAAUGGAAGGGCCAUCGCUCAACGGAUAAAAGGUACUCCGGGGAUAACAGGCUGAUACCGCCCAAGAGUUCAUAUCGACGGCGGUGUUUGGCACCUCGAUGUCGGCUCAUCACAUCCUGGGGCUGAAGUAGGUCCCAAGGGUAUGGCUGUUCGCCAUUUAAAGUGGUACGCGAGCUGGGUUUAGAACGUCGUGAGACAGUUCGGUCCCUAUCUGCCGUGGGCGCUGGAGAAUUGAGGGGGGCUGCUCCUAGUACGAGAGGACCGGAGUGGACGCAUCACUGGUGUUCGGGUUGUCAUGCCAAUGGCACUGCCCGGUAGCUAAAUGCGGAAGAGAUAAGUGCUGAAAGCAUCUAAGCACGAAACUUGCCCCGAGAUGAGUUCUCCCUGAGACUUUAAGUCUCCUGAAGGAACGUUAAAGACGAUGACGUUGAUAGGCCGGGUGUGUAAGCGCAGCGAUGCGUUGAGCUAACCGGUACUAAUGAACCGUGAGGCUUAACCUU
rnacentral:rRNA from 1 species